rnacentral:sRNA from 1 species
GCCCGGCACUGUGGUGCAUGCCUGUAAUCCCAGCAUCUUGGGAGGCUGAGGCAGGAGGAUUGGGAGUUCAAAGCCACCUUCAGCAAAAGCAAGCUGCUAAGCAACUCAAUGAGACCCUGUCUCUA